rnacentral:lncRNA from 1 species
CGGAUCAGCUCAGACCGACCCAAGUCAACGACUCGUUUUGCAGCGGCGGUGGCCCGACCUUUUCUCCUCCGUCCAGCCACCUCCAGACGUCACACUGGAGCAGUUCGACUCGUCUCGGAGGCGCGAAUCAGAGCGCGGUCGCUCCUACUCGAAAGACCGGCGACGGUGGUAAGAAGAAUAAGCCCGAAAGCUUUUCGUGUUGGCCGGCGGAUUCUCUAAUGUCGGCCACUUCUCGGCUACGGACGGGUAGCGGCAGCUUCCUCUCGACCUCGCCG